rnacentral:rRNA from 1 species
UACGUAGGGGGCAAGCGUUGUCCGGAAUCAUUGGGCGUAAAGCGCGUGUAGGCGGCCCGGUAAGUCCGCUGUGAAAGUCGGGGGCUCAACCCUCGAAUGCCGGUGGAUACUGUCGGGCUUGAGUACGGAAGAGGCGAGUGGAAUUCCUGGUGUAGCGGUGAAAUGCGUAGGUAUCUGGAGGAAUACCGGUGGCGAAGGCGGCAUCCUGGACCAUAACUGACGCUGAGGCGCGAAAGCUAGGGGAGCAAACGGG